AACAUGACUCUCGGCAACGGAUAUCUCGGCUCUCGCAUCGAUGAAGAACGUAGCAAAAUGCGAUACCUGGUGUGAAUUGCAGAAUCCCGUGAACCAUCGAGUUUUUGAACGCAAGUUGCGCCCGAGGCCUUCUGGUCGAGGGCACGUCUGCCUGGGCGUCACGC
rnacentral:rRNA from 3 species